ACGAACGCUGGCGGCGUGCCUAAUACAUGCAAGUCGAGCGGAAUGAUGAAGAAGCUUGCUUCUUCUGAUUUUAGCGGCGGACGGGUGAGUAACACGUGGCAACCUACCUUGUAGAUUGGGAUAACUCCGGGAAACCGGGGCUAAUACCGAAUAAUCCAUUUUGCUUCAUGGCGAGAUGUUGAAAGACGGUUUCGGCUGUCACUACAAGAUGGGCCCGCGGCGCAUUAGCUAGUUGGUAGGGUAAUGGCCUACCAAGGCGACGAUGCGUAGCCGACCUGAGAGGGUGAUCGGCCACACUGGGACUGAGACACGGCCCAGACUCCUACGGGAGGCAGCAGUAGGGAAUCUUCCACAAUGGACGAAAGUCUGAUGGAGCAACGCCGCGUGAGUGAAGAAGGUUUUCGGAUCGUAAAACUCUGUUGUAAGGGAAGAACACGUACGAGAGUAACUGCUCGUACCUUGACGGUACCUUAUUAGAAAGCCACGGCUAACUACGUG
rnacentral:rRNA from 1 species